AUUGAACGCUGGCGGCAGGCCUAACACAUGCAAGUCGAACGAGUGGCGGACGGGUGAGUAAUGUCUGGGAAACUGCCUGAUGGAGGGGGAUAACUACUGGAAACGGUAGCUAAUACCGCAUACCAUCGGAUGUGCCCAGAUGGGAUUAGCUAGUAGGUGGGGUAAAGGCUCACCUAGGCGACGAUCCCUAGCUGGUCUGAGAGGAUGACCGGCACAACGGGAACUGAGAAACGGUCCGACCUCCUACGGAAGGAAGCAGUGGGAAAUAUUGCACAAUGGGCGCAAGCCUGAUGCAGCAAUGCCGCGUGUAUGAGGAGGGCCUUCGGGUUGUAAAGUACUUUCAGCGAGGAGACGUUACCCACAGAGGAAGCGCCGGCUAACUCCGUGCCAGCAGCCGCGGUAAUAC
rnacentral:rRNA from 1 species